UCAGAUGAUCGGUUUUUGGUAAACUGGCCUGUUAAAUUUUAAUUUAAUUAAAUUUACCUGUGAAUUUGAAAGUUAAUUUUGUUCUAUUGUUGUUUGGCUAAUCACAAGGAUCAGGUUGAUACCUAAAUUGUAAUAUUUCACCAGUUACUUACAUUGUUUUGGUUACUCUUAAAACUGAACCGUUAUUACAUAACAACCAUGUGUUUUCUUGCCAACCAAUUUUUGGACCUUUGGACAAUCGCCACAACUUUGAAAAGGACUCUGGUCCGAGGAAAAUAUUUUUAGGAGAACGUUUUGAGGAGAACAACCCUUUAUUAGGAUUAGGCGAACAGGACUUUUUGUCCAUUUAUUUGUGAUUUAACUUGUCAAUUAAUAUGUAAUUCGACCUCAGGGGAGAAAAUUUGUUAUUUAUUUUAUUAUUAUUUUGCAUUCUAUUAUUUUUUUCCCUUCCUUGUCCCUGUUUUUCCCUUUCCCUUGGUACGGUAGUCGCAACCGGAUACGAUGAAUUUUAAUUCAUCGGUGCCUCCCCUGAGGUCGCUGUCAAAGCUUCAAAUAAAGAUCGGAAUUCAUUUCAA